rnacentral:rRNA from 1 species
UGGCCAAGAUCCGAACACUAUCAGGUGGAUGACUAGGCUCCAGCGCUGAAGAAGGACGUGGCUAACUGCGAAAAGCUCCGGGAAGGUGUACGCAACCAGUGAUCCGGAGGUUUCCGAAUGCGACUUCAGCUAAUUUGAAAGGAUUAAGUCCUAACGGACAAGGAACGCAGGGAGCUGAAACAUCUCCGUACCUGCAGGAAGAGAAAUCAAUUGAGAUGUCGUUAGUAACGGCGAGUGAACACGACACAGGGCAAGCCGAAUGCGGUGUAGUAAUACAUUGCAGAUGUGGUGCCUUUCCAACGCCGACCUUGGAAAUCCGAAGUCUCCUGGAAUGGAGCACGAUACAGGGUGAUAGUCC